UUAUUGUAUCAUAUAUAGUAAAAAGUAACACCUGGACGGUGUCUCUAUCAAGACAAUAUUUCUAUUGAUAUAAUCAAUUGAUCUAAUAUAUUAGUAUUGUUUUUUAAUUAUCAAUAUCGAUUUUUAUCAAAUCUCUAAGAUGUAUUUUUUGGAGCCUUUGAAAAUUGUAUUCACUAUAAAUAUUGCUAGCAGAUUAAUAUAUGAUUCCAUUCUUCUUUCGUAAUCGCUUUAUCUUUUUUUAUCACUUCUUGUUUAUCUUUUCUUGUAACGUAGGAAUAUUUAAAUCUUUUCUUAUUUCUUCAUUACAUUAUCCACCAUGAAACGUUCACGACUGUGCAUAGUAUAAUAGAUUGUUGUACUUUAAAUUUAACUGUGUAUCCCAUAGUGGUGUUGUAUUUAUUCAGAUGAUUUUAAUUAUUGUUUUAUAGAUUUGUAGUUUACUUUCUGUGUUGAAUUUGAAUUUUUGACCGGUUAGCCAUGUUAUUUGUCUCCUUUUUCAUCGAAUUUCUUCGAUUUUGAUAGUGUUAUACUGUUUCCAUAUUACCUUAGGAAUCCAAAUGAAACCUCAUAUAAUUAAUCAUUUUGAUUAAGCGAAAUUUUUGUAUUGUUUCUUUUGAGUUUCGACUAAUUUGUUUUUGAUUUGGUUGUUUUUUUUAAAGUAAACAAGACGUGUUUGCACUUUGUAUUUACAUUGAUUUUCAUCCUUAUUGCAUAAUCAUUCUUCAGGAGAGUUAAUUUGUUCUAAUAAUAUAUUACUUGUUUAAAACAAAUGUGUCUUAAUGCUUUUGAAUACAAGGAAUAUAAGGCAAGAUAAAGGAAUAUUUCUCGGACAUACCAAGGAGAAAGAAAUGUAAACAAAUUAAAUCUAUAAACGAGCAACUGAAGUCAAUAACAUUAAAGGACAACGAUGGUUAAUAGAAAAACUGAACAGAAGAAUAUUGUAAUGUAAUAACGGAUGACAAGUGCAUGGCGAUCUUACUUGUAUUAAAUAUUAACAGUGGAGGUCUCGUAAUCAAAGAAAAGACAUUUAUUACACAGAAGGACCGACAAGAUAUCAUUUUAUUGAAAGAUAUUAACAUUGAAUUUUCUGAAGAAUAAAACAAUAAAAUCAAUGGCAAUUACUGAUGGAUACAACAUCGUUACAUUAUCCACUAUAUUAAGUAUUCCAACAAGAACAACAGUAAAUAAUAAAGCAAUGGAUGGAAACCAACAUCAUUCAAGAGAAUGAUACUCAAUUUUUUAAUCCGGUAAUGUUGGAUCAAAAAACAAAACAGGCUAUAAACGAACAUGCAAAGACUAUUCAGUAUAAAUCUUAAAAUAGUUGAAUAACAAUAUUCUACAGUGAUAGUAAAGAAUUAAUUGAACGGACUAUGAGAUAUAAACUAUAAUACUACAGCUAAUUUAAGUAGCGGAUACUAUCAAUUAUUGUUGUUGUAGAUAUACAGAUUGAAACCUAUAAUAUUUAAUGAAUUAUAUAUUUUUUAAGGUCUAUGAAGUUUCGUACUCCAUGAUAAACAUUCUGUUAUAUCUGGAUUUAUCAAGUAGUCGCAAAAUUUUUGCUUGUUUUCACGCUAGAUCCCGAUACUUUCGAAAGUUUAUAAUCCAUUUGCUUUUCAACGUUAUCUUGCAUCAAGAACAUGUGUUUCAAAUAACAAAUGAAAUGAACUCAUCGGUCCAGGAACGUCUUUAACAUAAGCCACAUUUGAUGUAAACUAAGACCUUACUAUUUACGGGGUUACAUUUUAAAAUCUUAUUUUUAACCUUACUCUUUACAAACAAUAAUAUAAAAAACAUCUUAGUAUAUUUCCUAAAACUAAGAUCAAAAAAAAUAU